rnacentral:rRNA from 1 species
GAUGAACGCUGGCGGCGUGCCUAAUACAUGCCAGUCGAGCGAACGGACGAGAAGCUUGCUUCUCUGAUGUUAGCGGCGGACGGGUGAGUAACACGUGGAUAACCUACCUAUAAGACUGGGAUAACUUCGGGAAACCGGAGCUAAUACCGGAUAAUAUUUUGAACCGCAUGGUUCAAAAGUGAAAGACGGUCUUGCUGUCACUUAUAGAUGGAUCCGCGCUGCAUUAGCUAGUUGGUAAGGUAACGGCUUACCAAGGCAACGAUGCAUAGCCGACCUGAGAGGGUGAUCGGCCACACUGGAACUGAGACACGGUCCAGACUCCUACGGGAGGCAGCAGUAGGGAAUCUUCUGCAAUGGGCGAAAGCCUGACGGAGCAACGCCGCGUGAGUGAUGAAGGUCUUCGGAUCGUAAAACUCUGUUAUUAGGGAAGAACAUAUGUGUAAGUAACUGUGCACAUCUUGACGGUACCUAAUCAGAAAGCCACGGCUAACUACGUG